AAGAUGACUUUUAUUGCUUUAUACAACUUUUGUUAUUGUUUUGCCUUAUGCCUGGCAAGCAGAAGGGAAUGUAAUGAAGCAGUAUAAUAUUUCUGUAAUACCUAUUAUUUAUAUAAAAUCUUAAAAAUACCUUAAUCCUCCUGCAGAACUUUACAGAAGGUUCAUCAGAUCUGACAAAUAACCUGUUAGUUGAUUGCCUUUAUGCUCAGGCCCAUAAUCCCGUGGAAAUAACCUGUUUUGUUCGGUAUUGUUGCUCCUCAGAAGAUCAGUUUUACAUGCCUUAUGGAUGUCUGCUGUGGUAUCAUCUGACAUCUGUGGGCCUAGGAUUUUCUCAAGUUGCCUUCCAUAGCUGAUCCACAUGUUCAGCAGAAGUACACUCACUCUGGCAAAGAUCCAUUCCUGCAUAUAUCAGAAGAACUAUGAAGGAAAAAAUGCAGCUUGUAUUUCCCAAUUCAGACGGCACUACAAGGACCAUUUCACUGUCCCCUUUGGCUUCUGCAUCUUGCUUCCAGUGUGAACAGACAGCCAUCCUGCAGACAUCGAGCACAUGACUGUCAUUGUGGAUCCAGUCUUCAUGGCUUCCAGAGUGCAGAUAUCCAGGAGCUUUAGUGUGUGUGUAUUAAGAUCUCACCAUUUGUGGCAUAAAGAAAUUUGUUACUUAUGACUUUUGGUAUUAGUAAGUUACUGUGCAGAGCACACAGACAGCAAUUGACCAAAAAGAGCUUUUUGGCUCAGAAGCCCACUGGAAAUGGA
rnacentral:lncRNA from 1 species